AGUAUGGGGCCGUCCUAAAUUUGCAUCAUAUGGUAUAUCUGCCGGUGGUGGCCUGUAAGUAUCUAGAAUUAAAGUUUCAAGAUUUGGAUUAACUAAAAACCCGAUAGAGAGCACAGUCGAUGUGCCAGUAUGGGAGGACAAAGGCUGAUGCUCCUAUGACACUCUUGGAUACCGGAGUGAAUAUAUUGUAGCUUCUGUCAAGGCCAGUUCCUCACAAAACUGAAAAUACAAGGAAAGCGGAUCAAAUAAAGGUCCUGGGAUAGAUUAUAACACGGGUUCAAAUGAGACAUAAGUUCUACAUGUUCGUAAACGCUGUUGGACUGAAUUAGAAAACGAAAGCACGCAAGAAGUACAAGCAACAACAAGGUUUUCGCUCUCUAAUGAAUCCUUAUGAAGAAUAAUGCAAGAGUUGAAUGGCCAGCCUCUCCAAGGUCCGGAUAUGUCAGCACAGGGGCCUUCUUUAAGCUUUGCUUAUAUUU